CCCUUUGAUACUCUGGGCGGCACGCGCGCUACACUGGUUUAUAUAACGUGUAAUUUGGACGAUAGUCUGUAUAAAUCACUAAUAUAAAACCGUGAAUGGGAUAGUUUAUUGCAACUUACAAACUUUAACUAGGAAUCCCUUGUAGAAGUAGUGAAUUAUACUGCUUCGAAUACGUCCCUGCCGAUUGUACACACCGCCCGUCGUUUCUUCCGACUGGUACUCAUUGUGAAUUGCGAGGAGAUUCUGUCAAAUCGUUGUAAAUGCUGGGUAUUGGAGGAAGAAAAGGUCGUAACA
rnacentral:rRNA from 1 species